UACGGAGGGAGCAAGCGUUACUCGGAAUUAUUGGGCGUAAAGGGCGCGUAGGCGAUCUGCCAAGUCCUGUGUGAAAGCCCAAGGCUUAACCUUGGAAGUGCACAGAAUACUGGCUGGAUUUGAGUUCAGGAGAGGAAGGCAGAAUUCCCGGUGUAGCGGUGAAAUGCGUAGAGAUCGGGAGGAAUACCAGUGGCGAAGGCGGCCUUCUGGACUGACACUGACGCUGAGGCGCGAAAGCCAGGGGAGCAAACGGG
rnacentral:rRNA from 1 species